UACGUAGGGUGCGAGCGUUAAUCGGAAUUACUGGGCGUAAAGCGCACGUAGGCGGCUUUGUAAGUUAGAGGUGAAAGCCUGGAGCUCAACUCCAGAAUUGCCUUUAAGACUGCAUCGCUUGAAUCCAGGAGAGGUGAGUGGAAUUCCGAGUGUAGAGGUGAAAUUCGUAGAUAUUCGGAAGAACACCAGUGGCGAAAGCGGCUCACUGGACCAUUACUGACGCUGAGGCACGAAAGCUAGGGGAGCAAACAGG
rnacentral:rRNA from 1 species